rnacentral:sRNA from 1 species
GUAAAAUCAGUCUUACGAUUGGUGCAAUUUGGAGGGAAAAUGAGCUUUUUAUGUUUUCAUUGCACAACAAAAUUAUUGGAAAAAAGUUAAUUUUAUCCCCAAAUUGCACCAAUUGUAUGCAU